UACGAAGGGUGCAAGCGUUAUCCGGAUUCAUUGGGUUUAAAGGGUGCGUAGGUGGGCUGGUAAGUCAGUGGUGAAAUCUCCAGGCUUAACUUGGAAACUGCCAUUGAUACUAUUAGUCUUGAAUACCGUGGAGGUCAGCGGAAUAUGUCAUGUAGCGGUGAAAUGCUUAGAUAUGACAUAGAACACCAAUUGCGAAGGCAGCUGGCUACACGAAUAUUGACACUGAUGCACGAAAGCGUGGGGAUCAAACAGG
rnacentral:rRNA from 1 species